UCUCCGUUGGUGAACCAGCGGAGGGAUCAUUACAGAGUUGGGAAACUCCCUAACCCUAGUUCACGCUACCUAUCUCGUUGCUUACGCUGCCUCACCGGGCCCCGCGCCCGGCUCUCCCCGGCCCCCCGUGGCCGCCCGCCCGCGGGACACCGCACCCUUGAGUUGCAUGUCCACUCUUAGCCUUCUGUCAUGUCUACGUCAAAACUUUCAACAACGGAUCACUUGCUUCUAGCAUCGAUUCUGAUCGCUCCAGCUUUGAAGAACAAACGAACAGACUCC
rnacentral:misc_RNA from 1 species